AAUGGACGCUGGCGGCAGGCCUAACACAUGCAAGUCGAACGGAUCCUUCGGGAUUAGUGGCGGACGGGUGAGUAACGCGUGGGAACAUACCCAAAGGUACGGAAUAGCCUCGGGAAACUGGGAGUAAUACCGUAUGUGCUCGAAAGAGGAAAGAUUUAUCGCCUUUGGAUUGGCCCGCGUUGGAUUAGGUAGUUGAUGGGGUAAUGGCCUACCAAGCCGACGAUCCAUAGCUGGUUUGAGAGGAUGAUCAGCCACACUGGGACUGAGACACGGCCCAGACUCCUACGGGAGGCAGCAGUGGGGAAUCUUAGACAAUGGGGGAAACCCUGAUCUAGCCAUGCCGCGUGAUCGAUGAAGGCCUUAGGGUUGUAAAGAUCUUUCAGGUGGGAAGAUAAUGACUGUACCACCAGAAGAAGCCCCGGCUAACUCCGUGCCAGCAGCCGCCGUAA
rnacentral:rRNA from 1 species